rnacentral:lncRNA from 10 species
CGCCACAGUGAGGCUGGAGCACUAUGAGAAGGGGAGCAGUCAGGUGAGAGGGAAUUUAUCCAACAGAAGUCCAGGAAGAUCAAGGCGGGAGGAUCACUUGAGGCCAGGAGUUUGAGACCAGCCUGGGCAACAGAGCAAGACCCGCAUCUCUAAAAAACAGUAAAAAAUUAGCCAGGCAUGGUGGUGCACACCUGUAGUCUCAAGUACUCAGCGGUAGGACUGCGAGGCUGCAGUGAGCUCUGACUGUACCACUGCACUCCUGCCUGUGUGACAGAAUGACAUACUGUCUCUAAAGCGGAAAAAAACAAAACAAAAAACAGCCCAGGAGCCAGGGAAGACUUUUAACACAUAUUUUGUUGAAUGAAUGAAUGAAGUGAUCCAGGUUUUUGUGUGCAUUUAAUUUCACCUCUAGGUGCUGAUCCAGUUUGUGGUAUAGUGUUCUGGAGGUCCAACGUCAUCUAC